UCAAACGCAGAUUUCCUGUUCUCCAUGGGGAAAUCAGGUUAAAACCUGAGAAGGCUUGUAAGGUGAUAAUAGCAUGUGCUGUCCUGCACAACAUAUGCGGGGACAGAAACAUCCCAGUUCCACCCACUGAUGGGCAUGAUGGACUUGGCAGGCUUGAUGGGCAGAAUGGAGCUCAAGCAGUGACUGCUCCACCAGUAGCUGCACUCAGAUACCGGGAGCACUUUGCCAAUACCAACUUUCCAUAGUUUCCACGGUUGGUGAAGGGAGGGACCCUGUGACAUCUGGCUCCUUGGAAUACAUGUUGGCUCCUUCUGGUUGAGGAUGUGGAUCUGACAUGGCGGUGUCAUAAAUCUCCCUGCAACAGAAAAUAUUAAAGUUUUAAUUGUAAUUUUCACAUAAAUGUUCUUUUCAAUUUCAACAA